rnacentral:rRNA from 1 species
UACGGGGGGGGCAAGCGUUGUUCGGAAUUACUGGGCGUAAAGGGCGCGUAGGCGGGCUUGGCAAGUGGAUGGUGAAAUCCCUCGGCUUAACCGAGGAACUGCCGUCCAAACUGCUUUGCUUGAGACCGGGAGAGGUGAGUGGAAUUCCCAGUGUAGCGGUGAAAAUGCGUAGAUAUUGGGAGGAACACCAGUGGCGAAGGCGGCUCACUGGACCGGUACUGACGCUGAGGUGCGAAAAGCGUGGGGAG